AUUGAACGCUGGCGGCAUGCCUUACACAUGCGAGUCGAACGGUAACGCGGGGCAACCUGGCGACGAGUGGCGAACGGGUGAGUAAUGCAUCGGAACGUGCCCAGAAGUGGGGGAUAGCCCGGCGAAAGCCGGAUUAAUACCGCAUGAGACCUGAGGGUGAAAGCGGGGGAUCGCAAGACCUCGCGCUUUUGGAGCGGCCGAUGUCAGAUUAGCUAGUUGGUGGGGUAAAGGCCUACCAAGGCGACGAUCUGUAGCUGGUCUGAGAGGACGACCAGCCACACUGGGACUGAGACACGGCCCAGACUCCUACGGGAGGCAGCAGUGGGGAAUUUUGGACAAUGGGCGCAAGCCUGAUCCAGCCAUGCCGCGUGCGGGAAGAAGGCCUUCGGGUUGUAAACCGCUUUUGUCAGGGAAGAAACGCUCUGGGCUAAUACCCUGGGGUAAUGACGGUACCUGAAGAAUAAGCACCGGCUAACUACGUG
rnacentral:rRNA from 1 species